CAGCACCUUGAUCUUGGACCUCCAGAACUAUGCCCUGAACACCUUAAGCCUCAGGCGUACUGUUACCCAACCAGAGUUGAUCUACAGUCAGCUUUUCUCACCUGGUCCCAGAAGACCAAACACUGCCCUCUACAGAUUCAUGCUGUAUCUUCAACAACAGGAGGUCCUGGUAAGGAACACGGAACUAACAAGCCACCACCAACUGGAAGAAUUUGGGAAAGGUCAAUAUGAGACGCCAGUCCAUAUGUCCUACCAACCUCCCAGAAUCCUCCUCACUGGAAUCCAUCUUGGCUGAGUGAUGCGUGCGCCACCAGGAAGGACCCUGAGUCAGAAUGAUUGGCCAGAGACAACCCGGAAACUAAUCUCAUCACCAUAAAACCUGAGACUGCAAUCCACAUGGCAGAGCAGUCCUCCUGGGUUCCCUUACCCUCCUGCUCUCCACCCGGGUGCCCCUUCCUAAUAAAGUCUCUUGCUUUGUCAGCACAUGUGUCCCCUCAGACAAUUCAUUUAUGAGUGUUGGACAAGAGCCCACUCUCAGGCCCU